AGCAGCCGCGGUAAUUCCAGCUCCAAUAGCGUAUAUUAAAGUUGUUGCAGUUAAAAAGCUCGUAGUUGAAUUUCGGGGUUAGUAGGUUGGUCAUGCCUCUGGUAUGUACUGGUCUCACUGGUUCCUCCUUCCUGAUGAACUGUAAUGCCAUUAAUUUGGUGUUGCAGGGAAACAGGACUGUUACUUUGAAAAAAUUAGAGUGUUUAAAGCAAGCUAACGCUUGAAUACAUUAGCAUGGAAUAAUGAAAUAGGACGUUCGAACCUAUUUUGUUGGUUUCUAGGAUUGACGUAAUGAUUAAUAGGGAUAGUUGGGGGCAUUAGUAUUCAAUUGUCAGAGGUGAAAUUCUUGGAUUUAUUGAAGACUAACUACUGCGAAAGCAUUUGCCAAGGAUGUUUUCAUUAAUCAAGAACGAAAGUUAGGGGAUCGAAGACGAUCAGAUACCGUCGUAGUCUUAACCAUAAACUAUGCCGACUAGGGAUCGGAUGAUGUUAAUUUUUUAAUGUACUCAUUCGGCGCCUU
rnacentral:misc_RNA from 1 species